CAAACGGCUCUUUUCAGAGCCACCUACAGAUCCCAUUCAAAAGAG
rfam:Rattus norvegicus chromosome 17, whole genome shotgun sequence.